rnacentral:snRNA from 1 species
GUGCUUUGGCAGCACAUACACUACAAUUGGAAUGAUGCGGAGAUCAGCAUGGUCCCUGCNCAAGGGUGACAUAUGAAUUCAUGAAACGUUCCUCAUUUUU